GUGAGUAACCUGCCCUUGACUCUGGGAUAAGCCUGGGAAACCGGGUCCAAUACUGGAUACGACCUUCUGGCGCAUGCCAUGUUGGUGGAAAGCUUUUGUGGUUUUGGAUGGACUCGCGGCCUAUCAGCUUGUUGGUGGGGUAAUGGCCUACCAAGGCGACGACGGGUAGCCGGCCUGAGAGGGUGACCGGCCACACUGGGACUGAGACACGGCCCAGACUCAUACGGGAGGCACCAGNGGGGAAUAUUGGACA
rnacentral:rRNA from 1 species